AGGAUAAAACGCACAAUCGCGAGAUUUCCCCAACGGAGAUAGAGACAUUUUCGUCCAUUGCUGCGGCUUUUGUCUUCUGAAAAGUCACCUGAUACCGUGAUUAACACGCCAGGCCCAAUGUUUUUGCUCUUUUUUUGAUCCAUAAAGAAAGAUGACGCA
rnacentral:sRNA from 1 species